GCAAAGUUGGUUUAGUGGUAUAAUUACCGCCUGCCAUUAUAUGGGCUAGUACCAGAGGUUCGCGGUAGACCCGGGUUCGAUUCCCGGACUUUGCA